rnacentral:lncRNA from 1 species
UAGCGGAUAGUGAGAAACUACCUGUGCAGAGACACAGAAAUGCUGAGAACCUGAAAUCGCCAGACACAGAAGCUCCCUUAAUAGGAAAAAAGAGCAAGAAACCCAAAAAGAAGGAAAAGAAACACAAAGAAAAAGAGAGAGAGAAAGAAAAGAAGAAAGAGAGAGAAAAAAAGGUGACUGAAGAAGGAAAAAAGGAGGAAGACUUGGAUUUCUGGCUCUCCACUGCCCCACCUCCCUCCUCCAUUACACAGACACAGAGUGAGCCUGAGGGGAGCACUGU